ensembl:lncRNA
AUGCUAAAAAGCCAACAGCAGAUCAUUGUCGAUUUGCAGCAAAAACUUGCUGAACAGCAGCAGAUAUUGGUUAGCCAGCAACGGGAGAUUCUUGAGCAGCAAAGAAAAAUGUAUGAGCAAAUGGAUCUGAUCAAAGUCCAGUAUGGCAUGCUUUUUGAUACAGUGAAACAAAUGUCAUUUCAGAGUUUGCAAGAAGAUAUUCAAAAUUAUUUUGAAAGUCAUCUUCAAGGACUUCAGAACCAGGUCAGAAAUCAUCUCCAGAAGUCAUACUCUGUGCAUAAAGUAGAAGUGGAUGCAAAAGUGAUUAAUGUUGGGGAGUCUUUGCUGGACUGUGGCCUUUGUGAAAGUGAUGAAUUUUGCAAUUUCCAAAAGACACCUUCACAAUGUGAAAAAUGCACAUUGUGUCCUGCUGGUUUUUUCCAAAUGGCUGAGUGUUCUGCAAACUCUGAUCGGAUUUGCCAGGACAGAGAUGAAUGCACCGAAUCUCCAAGCAUUUGUGGUGAGAGGAUAAAAUGCCUGAAUACUCCAGGUGGUUUCCGAUGCCUUGGAAUCGCUGAGAAAGAUGCAGCUUUGGGACUGUGUGGAGAGGAGUAUUUCUUUAAUAAGGAAAUGCAAGAAUGCCAGGCAUGUUUAAAAUGUGAAGAUGGAAUGGUGGCUGUGCCUUGCUCCACUGUCAGUGAUACGAUUUGUUCAGCAACCAGUGAAAGCAAGCUCUCAGAGUCUUGGGCUGCAAACAUCAUCCUGCCCUCGGUGAAGUCCAGCAUCUCUCAGGUCUACUCCGGCUUGAACUUGAAGAUAAAGGGAAAGCUUCCCUGUGAAAUCCUAUCCGUUGAAGAUAACAGCCUGGUAUUUAGGCAACAUGGGCUGUUGUGGACUGACCUAAAUUUUGCAGUAAAGCACAACUGCAGGAAUUUUUUGCAACUUUCCUUAAAGCUAAACGGCAGUGAGGAAGGCUAUGAACUGAGCGGUGUUCGCAUUGAACAGCCAGAAGGGAAGUAUUUCCAGAGCACUAGUUUAAGUACUGCUGCUGAAGUGGAGCCCAGCCAAACUCUUUCUGUGUAUUUGAGGAGCCCCAAUCAAUUCUGCAACCAGAGUAAAGACUUAAAUAUUUAUGAUCUUAAUACCCCACUCAGUUUGUUUUGGUUGUCCCACGACACAGGUGCUGUGGCGCUCAGUGCACAGAUGUCAACAGCAAUACAUUACCAAACCAACUAUCGACCUACCUUUAAAAUAGUAUCCGUUUCCGACCCUUACAUGCUAAGUUUAUCUCAUGAUGGCAGAGCUAUAAAGUUCACUGAAACUGGUGUUGUCAAAUUUGUAUUCCACCAAGCAUUGUAUUCCAUGGGUCAUACGUGUGUCAGAGAGGGCUUCUCCUUAAUUUCUUAUAUCAAUAGGAAUGGCACCAACAGAGAAUUAAUGAAUGUAUUUAAAUCUGGCGUAAAUUACAGAGACACGUCAAUAUCUGCUGCCGGGGCCACAAAAGUUGGUGCUGGAGAUCUGAUUAGCUUUGAGAUACUUUCUCCUGCACAGUGUAAUGUUCGGUAUUUUGGAGAUAGUUCUGGAAUUAGUAUGUUUAGCCUCAUCUGGAUCCCUUCAGCAGUUUCUAGUGCCAUAUCAGCCACAGUUUCUGUUAUGGGUCUGCCUACUGGAGCUGUGAGAAACAAGUUACUGGAUUUCACCCAGGUCUCAUCCAAUGAGAAACAGAUACAGCUGGUUUCUUCUGGACAGCUUGCUCACAAGUAUUUCAUUUUUACUGAAAAGGGAGUUGCCAGCCUUGCAUUUAACUUAAAGCUAAUCCACUCAUGCAAUGUGCUCAAAAUGACUCUCAAUCAGUUGACCAGGGAUCACAUGCAGCCCACAGCGAUUGCUCAGCAGAUCGGAGGUCAGAUGCCAGAGGGAAGCAUAUGGACCAGUGUGUCCCUCCGUGCAUCUUUUGAAGUACAUAAUGGAACACUGAUAUCAGUUUCUCUUGACUGUGUGCGUGGAAGGAUCAAUCAGAUCACUCGUGAACAGGGAACCAGUAUAUCUAUAUUAUGGAUUUCAUCUUAAUUUAUGUACAGUGAGGGCAGCACAGAACUGGAGUUUAAAUUGCAUUUGGAUUCUACUCUGAUUCUACACGUAUUUGACACCUUAUACUGUGUUGACAUGAGCAGGUUGUCCCACUAAAAUGCUCUCAAUUUUAGGAAUAUUUAACUAUAAUCUUAAUUGAAUGAUCAGUAUUUAAAGAAAAGAGAGCUUUCGAUGUUCCAAGUUUUACUUCUUUUAACAUCUUCAGGAAGGGGAACUUUGCAUUCAGGUCAAACUCUCUUAUUUUUAAUAAAGCAGUCCCUUAAAAUGGGUUAUUUCUAGAC